rnacentral:rRNA from 1 species
UACGUAGGGUGCGAGCGUUAAUCGGAAUUACUGGGCGUAAAGUGUGCGCAGGCGGCGCUGCAAGUCGAGUGUGAAAUCCCCGAGCUUAACUUGGGAAUUGCGCUCGAAACUACGGCGCUGGAGUAUGGCAGAGGAAGGUGGAAUUCCACGUGUAGCGGUGAAAUGCGUAGAGAUGUGGAGGAACACCAAUGGCGAAGGCAGCCUUCUGGGCCAACACUGACGCUCAUGCACGAAAGCGUGGGGAGCAAACAGG